rfam:Tupaia chinensis contig52306, whole genome shotgun sequence.
AACAUGGUUUUAUUAAAAACCACCCACUCACUGUGUACUACUUAA